rnacentral:rRNA from 1 species
GAACGCUGACAGAAUGCUUAACACAUGCAAGUCUACUUGAUCCUUCGGGUGAUGGUGGCGGACGGGUGAGUAACGCGUAAAGAACUUGCCCUGCAGUCUGGGACAACAUUUGGAAACGAAUGCUAAUACCGGAUAUUAUGUGAGUUUCGCAUGAAAUUCAUAUGAAAGCUAUAUGCGCUGCAGGAGAGCUUUGCGUCCUAUUAGCUAGUUGGUGAGGUAACGGCUCACCAAGGCGAUGAUAGGUAGCCGGCCUGAGAGGGUGAACGGCCACAAGGGGACUGAGACACGGCCCUUACUCCUACGGGAGGCAGCAGUGGGGAAUAUUGGACAAUGGACCAAAAGUCUGAUCCAGCAAUUCUGUGUGCACGAUGAAGUUUUUCGGAAUGUAAAGUGCUUUCAGUUGGGACGAAGUAGGUGACGGUACCAACAGGAGAAGCGACGGCUAAAUACGUGCCAGCAGCCGCGGUAAUACGUAUGUCGCAAGCGUUAUCCGGAUUUAUUGGGCGUAAAGCGCGUCUAGGCGGUUUGGUAAGUCUGAUGUGAAAAUGCGGGGCUCAACUCCGUAUUGCGUUGGAAACUGCCAAACUAGAGUACUGGAGAGGUGGGUGGAACUACAAGUGUAGAGGUAAAAUUCGUAGAUAUUUGUAGGAAUGCCGAUGGGGAAGCCAGCCCACUGGACAGAUACUGACGCUAAAGCGCGAAAGCGUGGGUAGCAAACAGGAUUAGAUACCCUGGUAGUCCACGCCGUAAACGAUGAUUACUAGGUGUUGGGGGUCGAACCUCAGCGCCCAAGCUAACGCGAUAAGUAAUCCGCCUGGGGAGUACGUACGCAAGUAUGAAACUCAAAGGAAUUGACGGGGAC